rnacentral:rRNA from 1 species
GACGAACGCUGGCGGCGUGCCUAAUACAUGCAAGUCGAGCGAGUCUGCCUUGAAGAUCGGAGUGCUUGCACUCUGUGAAACAAGAUACAGGCUAGCGGCGGACGGGUGAGUAACACGUGGGUAACCUGCCCAAGAGAUCGGGAUAACACCUGGAAACAGAUGCUAAUACCGGAUAACAACAGAUGAUGCCUAUCAACUGUUUAAAAGAUGGUUCUGCUAUCACUCUUGGAUGGACCUGCGGUGCAUUAGCUAGUCGGUAGGGUAACGGCCUACCAAGGCGAUGAUGCAUAGCCGAGUUGAGAGACUGAUCGGCCACAUUGGGACUGAGACACGGCCCAAACUCCUACGGGAGGCAGCAGUAGGGAAUCUUCCACAAUGGACGCAAGUCUGAUGGAGCAACGCCGCGUGAGUGAAGAAGGGUUUCGGCUCGUAAAGCUCUGUUGUUGGUGAAGAAGGACAGGAGUAGUAACUGACCUUUGUUUGACGGUAAUCAAUUAGAAAGUCACGGCUAACUACGUGCCAGCAGCCGCGGUAAUACGUAGGUGGCAAGCGUUGUCCGGAUUUAUUGGGCGUAAAGCGAGUGCAGGCGGCUCGAUAAGUCUGAUGUGAAAGCCUUCGGCUCAACCGGAGAAUUGCAUCAGAAACUGUCGAGCUUGAGUACAGAAGAGGAGAGUGGAACUCCAUGUGUAGCGGUGAAAUGCGUAGAUAUAUGGAAGAACACCGGUGGCGAAGGCGGCUCUCUGGUCUGUUACUGACGCUGAGGCUCGAAAGCAUGGGUAGCGAACAGG